UACGUAGGGUGCAAGCGUUGUCCGGAAUUAUUGGGCGUAAAGAGCUCGUAGGCGGUCUGUCGCGUCUGCUGUGAAAACUCGGGGCUUAACCCCGGGCCUGCAGUGGGUACGGGCAGACUAGAGUGAUGUAGGGGAGACUGGAAUUCCUGGUGUAGCGGUGAAAUGCGCAGAUAUCAGGAGGAACACCGAUGGCGAAGGCAGGUCUCUGGGCCGAUACUGACGCUGAGGAGCGAAAGCGUGGGGAGCGAACAGG
rnacentral:rRNA from 1 species